rnacentral:rRNA from 1 species
GAUGAACGCUGGCGGCGUGCCUAAUACAUGCAAGUCGAGCGAACGGACGAGAAGCUUGCUUCUCUGAUGUUAGCGGCGGACGGGUGAGUAACACGUGGAUAACCUACCUAUAAGACUGGGAUAACUUCGGGAAACCGGAGCUAAUACCGGAUAAUAUUUUGAACCGCAUGGUUCAAAAGUGAAAGACGGUCUUGCUGUCACUUAUAGAUGGAUCCGCGCUGCAUUAGCUAGUUGGUAAGGUAACGGCUUACCAAGGCAACGAUGCAUAGCCGACCUGAGAGGGUGAUCGGCCACACUGGAACUGAGACACGGUCCAGACUCCUACGGGAGGCAGCAGUAGGGAAUCUUCCGCAAUGGGCGAAAGCCUGACGGAGCAACGCCGCGUGAGUGAUGAAGGUCUUCGGAUCGUAAAACUCUGUUAUUAGGGAAGAACAUAUGUGUAAGUAACUGUGCACAUCUUGACGGUACCUAAUCGGAAAGCCACGGCUAACUACGUGCCAGCAGCCGCGGUAAUACGUAGGUGGCAAGCGUUAUCCGGAAUUAUUGGGCGUAAAGCGCGCGUAGGCGGUUUUUUAAGUCUGAUGUGAAAGCCCACGGCUCAACCGUGGAGGGUCAUUGGAAACUGGAAAACUUGAGUGCAGAAGAGGAAAGUGGAAUUCCAUGUGUAGCGGUGAAAUGCGCAGAGAUAUGGAGGAACACCAGUGGCGAAGGCGACUUUCUGGUCUGUAACUGACGCUGAUGUGCGAAAGCGUGGGGAUCAAACAGGAUUAGAUACCCUGGUAGUCCACGCCGUAAACGAUGAGUGCUAAGUGUUAGGGGGUUUCCGCCCCUUAGUGCUGCAGCUAACGCAUUAAGCACUCCGCCUGGGGAGUACGACCGCAAGGUUGAAACUCAAAGGAAUUGACGGGGACCCGCACAAGCGGUGGAGCAUGUGGUUUAAUUCGAAGCAACGCGAAGAACCUUACCAAAUCUUGACAUCCUUUGACAACUCUAGAGACAGAGCUUUCCCCUUCGGGGACAAAGUGACAGGUGGUGCAUGGUUGUCGUCAGCUCGUGUCGUGAGAUGUUGGGUUAAGUCCCGCAACGAGCGCAACCCUUAAGCUUAGUUGCCAUCAUUAAGUUGGGCACUCUAAGUUGACUGCCGGUGACAAACCGGAGGAAGGUGGGGAUGACGUCAAAUCAUCAUGCCCCUUAUGAUUUGGGCUACACACGUGCUACAAUGGACAAUACAAAGGGCAGCGAAACCGCGAGGUCAAGCAAAUCCCAUAAAGUUGUUCUCAGUUCGGAUUGUAGUCUGCAACUCGACUACAUGAGGCUGGAAUCGCUAGUAAUCGUAGAUCAGCAUGCUACGGUGAAUACGUUCCCGGUUCU